rnacentral:sRNA from 1 species
AGGUUGUGCAUAUGGGGUGGGUAAAUGAGAAACUCCAAGGAGCUGACUCCUCUCAAACCUUCAGACCCAAGUUCCUAGCACUGAAGGGCCCGUCCUUCUACGUUUUCAGCACUCCUCCGCAGCCUACCUCCUAUCUGAACUACAAGCUACGCAGAACCUAACCAACACACGAGAUGCUCUUCUUGGAUACCUUGGACAUGGUUUUAUCUUAAAUAACCCCCUUCUGUUACAUGGUCAUGUUCAGCCUUGAAUUGUUGUAGCCUAGAUAUUUUCUAGAGCUAUAACUCGUGAAAUAAAAAGUGAGAAGAGCCCUAAUGGA